AGGACAUUAAGGAGUAGGGGGGUAAAGGAUGGUGACUAGAUGAAGACCAGUCAUCAGGACAUUAAGGAGUAGGGGGGUAAAGGAUGGUGACCAGUCAUCAGGACAUUAAGGAGUAGGGGGGUAAAGGAUGGUGACUAGAUGAAGACCAGUCAUCAGGACAUUA
rnacentral:lncRNA from 13 species